rfam:Myotis lucifugus cont2.19134, whole genome shotgun sequence.
GACGGUUCUCUGGUGACGAACCCCAGAAUCAGGCUCCAUCCUCUCUGGUUCCAGGUGUGUCACUCUAGAGCUGAG